ensembl:lncRNA
UUUUUUUCCGUUGUUUCGGUUGUUUCCGUUGUUUCCGUUGUUUCCCUUGUUUCCGUUGUUUCCGUUGUUGUUCUUGACCUGUCACGUAAUUUUCUGCCGUAUGUUUCUGUCUCUGUGGAGGUUCUUUAUGUUCUUUCCGUUCUUUCCGUUCUUUCUGUUGUUGUUCUUGACCUGUCACCUUAUUUUCUGCCGUAUGUUUCUGUCUCUGUGGAGGUUCUUUCCGUUCUUUCUGUAGUUGUUCUUGAAAUGUCCCCUAAUUUUCUGCCGUAUGUUUCUGUCUCUGUGGAGGUUCUUUAUUUCCGUUCUUUCCAUUCUUUCCGUUCUUUCCAUUGUUAUUCUUGACCUGUCACCUAAUUUUCUGCCUUAUGUUUCUGUCUCUGUGGUGGUUCUUUCCGUUCUUUCUGUAGUUGUUCUUGAAAUGUCCCCUAAUUUUCUGC